CUCAUUUCUCUAGGGCUUUCUCCGAAAAAAAAAAUCUCGUUCUCGAAAUUUCUGGCGAUAAACUCUUCUGUCAAAUAUUUUUACAACCAGAGAAGUUCACGACAUUCUUAAAAACACGAUCCUGGAAAGCGCUUGAAUCGGAGUGGAACAAUCGUUGAAGAAUGUGGAGAAAUCAUCAUUGACAGAUUGAAGACAAGUGUGAAUCUUCGAGUUGAACGUACGGCUUAAGAAGUAGCAACACGAAACAGAUAAGUUCUUUGACUUCUUUUAUGUUUUUGUUUUUUAGUUUUAUCAAACUCCAAAAAGAUCAUAGGCAGACACUUAUCUAAUAGUGUUUCUGCCAGAUUCUUAUUUUUGGGAACAUUGUCUCGAGUCCCUGUUGCAGUGAAAGCUUAGUCCCAAAGGAAAUUUAAUUAAAUCCAUCUCCUUAGAAACUGUUGGUUGGUAGUGCAUGAAUGUCUUAAGAGAUGUUUGGGGAUGGAAAGUAAAACACAACCUUAGUACCCACGGCUUUAACAAAACAACCAUCAGCUUAAAAGAAAUGUCUUUAGACAGAAAACAGCUAUUUCUAUAGCUACGAAAAUUGAUGGAUGUAUAAACGACCAUCAGCUUACAAGAUAGUCUUAAGACAAAGGCUAUGAGUUGGUUUUGUACUUGUUGGAUGGAAAAUAACGACCACGAGUCAUGAAAACCAAGUGUCCUGAGUCCCUGUUGCGUUAAAGCUUAGUCCCAAAGGAAAUUUAAAUCCAUCUUCUUAGAAACUGUUGGUUGGUAGUGCAUGAAUGUCUUAAGAUAUGUUUGGGGAAGGAAAGUAAAACACAACCUUAUUACCCACGGCUUUAACAAAACAACCAUCGGCUUAAAAGAAAUGUCUUUAGACAGAAAACAACUAUUUCUGUAGCUAUGAAAAUUGAUGGAUGUAUAAACGACCAUCAGCUUACAAGAUAGUCUUAAGACAAAGGCUAUGAGUUGGUUUUGUACUUGUUGGAUGGAAAAUAACGACCACGAGUCAUGAAAACCAAGUGUCCUGAGUCCCUGUUGCGUUAAAGCUUAGUCCCAAAGGAAAUUUAAAUCCAUCUUCUUAGAAACUGUUGGUUGGUAGUGCAUGAAUGUCUUAAGAUAUGUUUGGGGAAGGAAAGUAAAACACAACCUUAUUACCCACGGCUUUAACAAAACAACCAUCGGCUUAAAAGAAAUGUCUUUAGACAGAAAACAACUAUUUCUGUAGCUAUGAAAAUUGAUGGAUGUAUAAACGACCAUCAGCUUACAAGAUAGUCUUAAGACAAAGGCUAUGAGUUGGUUUUGUACUUGUUGGAUGGAAAAUAACGACCACGAGUCAUGAAAACCAAGUGUCCUGAGUCCCUGUUGCGUUAAAGCUUAGUCCCAAAGGAAAUUUAAAUCUCUUCUUAGAAACUGUUGGUUGGUAGUGCAUGAAUGUCUUAAGAUAUGUUUAGGGAUGGAAAGUAAAACACAACCUUAUUACCCACGGCUUUAACAAAACAACCAUCGGCUUAAAAGAAAUGUCUUUAGACAGAAAACAACUAUUUCUGUAGCUAUGAAAAUUGAUGGAUGUAUAAACGACCAUCAGCUUACAAAAUAGUCUUAAGACAAAGGCUAUGAGUUGGUUUUGUACUUGUUGGAUGGAAAAUAACACACACCUUAGUAGUACCCACGGCUUUACAAAAUACAACCCUUGGCUUAAGAAAAAAAAAGAGUCCUUUAGACAGAAAAUGGCUAUGUCUAUAGCUAUGAAACUUGAUGGAUGGAUAAACGACCAUCAGCUUACGAAAUAGUCUUAAGACAAAGGCUAUGAGAGUUGGUUUUGUACUUGUUGGAUGGAAUAUAACACACACUUUAGUAGUACCCACGGCUUUACAAAACACAACCAUCGGCUUAAGAAAAAAAAGAGUUUUUUAGACGGAAAUGACUAUUUCUAUAGCUAUGAAACUUGAUGGAUAGAUAAACGACCAUCAGCUUACAAAAUAGUCUUAAGACAAAGGCUAUGAGAGUUGGUUUUGUACUUGUUGGAUGGAAAAUAACACACACCUUAGUAGUACCCACGGCUUUACAAAACACAACCAUCGGCUUAAAAAAAAGAGUUUUUUAGACUGAAAAUGGCUAUGUCUAUAGCUAUGAAAAUUGAUGGAUGGAUAAACGACCAUCAGCUUACGAAAUAGUCUUAAGACAAAGGCUAUGGGAGUUGGUUUUGUACUUGUUGGAUGGAAUAUAACACACACUUUAGUAGUACCCACAGCUUUACAAAACACAACCAUCGGCUUAAGAAAAAAAAAAGAGUUUUUAGACAGAAAAUGACUAUUUCUAUAGCUAUGAAACUUGAUGGAUAGAUAAACGACCAUCAGCUUACAAAAUAGUCUUAAGACAAAGGCUAUGAGAGUUGGUUUUGUACUUGUUGGAUGGAAUAUAACACACACUUUAGUAGUACCCAAGGCUUUACAAAACACAACCAUCGGCUUAAGAAAAAAAAAGUUUUUUAGACAGAAAACAGCUAUUUCUGUAGUUAUGAAAAUUGAUGGAUGUAUAAACGACCAUCAGCUUACAAAAUAGUCUUAAGACAAAGGCUAUGAAAGUUGGUUUUGUACUUGUUGGAUGGAAAAUAACGACCACAAGUCAUGAAAACUAAGUGUCACGAGUCCCGUUGCGUGAACUUGUUGGAUGGAAAAUAACGACCACAAGUCAUGAAAAGUAAUGUCCCGAGUCCCGUUGGUAUUGUACGGUUUGAGAGAAGUCUUCAGACAAAGACUCUAAAUCUAAACCCCAGGUCCAUUGCUUAACCACAGCUCUAUGAGCAAGGGAUACUUGAGGAUGCAAAGUGUGAGAAAAUUUAGUACCAACGGCUUAUUAAAAGACAGAGUUUGUGAAUGAAAAUGUCUUCAUCACGUACGUUAGUACCCACGGCUUAUGAACAAGCUUUAAGACAGAGUUUGUAAAACUACCAACGGCUUAAAGACAACUGUUUAGACAGAGAAUGUGAUUGUAAGACAGUCUUUAGACAUAGACUAUUCAUCACAUUAGUACCCAUGGCUUGCAAGAAAGUCUUUUGAUAAAGACAUUGUAAAACUACCACUCGCUUAAAAAAGACAACUGUUUAGACAGAAAAUGUGAUUGUAAAAAAGUCUUUAGAUAGAGACUGUAUUCAUAACAUAGUACCCACGGCUUGCAAAUGACUGAAUCUGUUUUUGAAUACAUCAUCAGAUUUGUACCCACGGCUUGCAAAAAAGGUCUUCAGGCAAAGACUGUUUUUGAAUACAUCAUCAGAUUUCUACCCACGGCUUUGAAAAAAAAGUUAUAGACAAAGGCUAUGAGAUCGUCAUAAUGGCUUUAAAGAAUCAUCAACCGUUUCUUUCUUUUUUUACCACAAGUUAUCAAUUUUCUCAAUCUCUGAACUUUUUUUUUCUUUCCAGGUGAAACCGAGUCAUGUUCUUUUAGCUGUCAGACUCUUAAAGCUUCAGUUAUCAAAGUGUUGAAGGUUGCAACAUGGACGACACAUAUGAAGUCUAGAAUCCUUGUAGUGGAGAUGCAUAUCAACAGAAGGGUGCAGCCGAGCCAGCUCCUGCUACAGCAGGUACUUAAGCACCGUUUAGGAGAAACAUACAUGAAGUGAACUAGUUAUAUUUGUUUAGGUAUGGGCUUCACAAACUGUUCAUAUCCUCAUUGACGCUUGUUCAGGUAUAUGUUUACCUUCACUUUUUUCUCUUACAAAAUUAUAUUAUUACGCCCCAUUUUAAGAUUAUAUAUGUUUUAUUAAGCUAGCUCGACAACGUUUCUCUCACUGAUUUAGCAUCCAUGAGAUUCUAUACACUGACUGCUAACAAAUCCACUGAUGAGCAAGUAGAUUCUUUUUUAAUAUUGGAACAUUACAUUGUGUUUCAGUGUUUAAUCUCUAUUCUUAAUUUGGUGCUUGUACGUAUGAGAAGGUCUUUUAAUUUUAUAAAAGUUGAUGUAUCUUAAAGUCUCUGGUAGAGAAACGUAGGUGAGAAAUUCCUGCAAACUGUGCUAGUAGUUUCUUUGAAUCUUGAAUGUUUUUUAUUUGGGUCAUGCGUUUAACCCUCAUUUGUCAGUCUAAACAUGUUAGAAUCUUAUAUUUUUGGUGCUUGUAUGUAUUAUAUGAUCUCUCAUUUUAUGAAAUCUAUGUAUCUUAGAUUCUCUGAUAGAUCAACAUAAGUGAGAGAUUACAUCAUGUUGUUGUGCGUAGUAGUUAUGUUUGAAUCUUUAUGAAUGUUUCUAUUUUGUGUUAUGAUCUUAGCCCUCAGUGAUAAAUAACUCUAAACGGUGCUUUUAUAUCUUUAGUUUGGUGCUUUUAUAUAUUUUAGAGUCUCUUGUAGAUCAAACAGGCGAAACUCCUACAGAUUGUGUGAGUAGUUUCAUUGAAUUUUGAAUGUUCUCUGUUUUUGUGUUAUGCUCCUCCUACUCUCAUUGAUCAUACUAAACUGUGUUGUUAUCUGUAUGUUGCUUAGAGAAAGGUUAUUAUUCUAAAUUAGUUUGGUGCUUCUGUGUAUUAUAAAGUAUCUUGUUUCUUAUAAAGUCACUUCUAGAUCAACGUAUAUGAGAGAGACUCCUGCAGAAUGUGGUCGUAGAUUCCUUUUUUCUUGAAUGGUUCUGUUUUGUGUUAUACACUUAACCCUCACAGACCAUUGUAAACAUGUGAAAUGACAUCUUCACAACUCUGCAUAGUAGGCUAAUGAUUACUGUGUUAGAUUCUAUAAAUUGUAUAUGUUGAAUUGAGCUUUUACAGUGAUUGAAAAUUUCUCGUUAUCAAGUCUAUAUCUUUGUCUCCGAGUCUUGGCAACAUUUCUGUCGAUCAACACAAAGGCAUUAUAUAAAUUAUAUACGUUGACUUGAGCUUUUACAGUGAUUGAAAAUUCCUCUGUUAUCACUAUAUCUUUGUCUGCAAGUCUUAGCAACAUUUGUGUCGAUCAACACAAAGGCAUUAACAUGAUAAAUCAAACAUAAUUUUUAGAUGCAUAGACAUGCUUCUUCUGGUCCUCCACGGACACAAAUGCAGCUUUCAAAAAAUAUUAGAUUGUUAGUAUGAACAGAGGAAUGUAUGAGUAAACUAAAUAUACCUAAUGAAGAGACUCUUAGGUCCUUGAAUCAUAUAGACACUUUAGAGUUCUACUUACCAAGAUGGGUUCUUCAUUUUUUCGAGUGUGCAAGUCCUUGAUGGAUGUUCUAGUGUAUUUCUUUGAUCAAUGCAAGAUAGCUUAUUACAUCAAACACAAAGAAUCAAUCAAAAGCAUAUUUGGAAGUAUAAAUCAAUCAAAUAAGCAAAAUGAACAAUCAUAUUAAGUUCAAGGCUCACCUUCCCUGGUUUGAAUUGGAUUUAAAAUUUAGUUUCUUUGGGGUUUCUUUAAAACUUUUUUGCAUCCCUUAAGAACAGAACAGCUUUGCAAACAGAUUCUGGUUCAAUAAUCUUGCACCAAACCUUCAUUCAAGCAAUGAUAUUUACAUUUUUAGCAAAAAAAAAAAAAUUACUUACCAAGAUCAAAGAAACGUUUAUAUGUUUUGAUGAAGCCCAAUAGUUUCUAUCGUAGUUUUACCAAGAUCAAAUAAACGUUUAUAUGUUGUGAUGAAACCCAAUAGUUUCUAUCGUAGUUUAUAAGUCGAAAUACAUAAGACAAAACUUUAUUUAGUUUAGUUAGUAGACAUAAUACUAAUCUAUGUUAUGACUUGGUUUUGUGUUUCUAUGUUUCAAGGUGACUGCCCAUGUUAUGAGCCGAAGUACAAGGAAGGAAAAUCUGUUCUUGAACUGCGCGAGACCUUUCUUGAUUUUUUUUUAUCAAGCAAAUUACAUUACAAAGUUAUUACAUAAACAGAGGUUUAAUCCCAUAUGUUCAUAUUUAUUAUGUAUUUUUUUUUGCCAAAAUGUGAAUUUUCAUAUUAAAUGAUGCAUGAUUGUAAAGAUACAAUAAGUUUUAGAUAUUUCUAGAGGUUGCCUUGGCAAAAAUAAUAAAAACAAGGCUAGUUCUAGGCA